UCUGAUGUUCUCAGGCCUGUGUAC
rnacentral:piRNA from 1 species